GGCCUGUUAGCUCACUGGGUUAGAACGUGGUGCUGAUAACACCAAGGUCGUGGGUUCGAUUCCCAUUCGGUCCC
rnacentral:tRNA from 1 species